GCCCUCUUUGUCUAAUGGUUAUGACGUCAGACUUCUACGCCAUAGCCGUGAUCUGGAGGUUGCGAGUUCGAGUCUCGCAGGGGGUA